rnacentral:rRNA from 1 species
GACGAACGCUGGCGGCGUGCUUAACACAUGCAAGUCGAACGAUGAACCCGGAGCUUGCUCCGGUGGAUUAGUGGCGAACGGGUGAGUAACACGUGAGUAACCUGCCCUUGACUCUGGGAUAACUGCGGGAAACUGUAGCUAAUACCGGAUACGACCCUCGGCGGCAUCGCCAGGGGGUGGAAAGAAUUUCGGUCAAGGAUGGACUCGCGGCCUAUCAGCUAGUUGGUGAGGUAACGGCUCACCAAGGCGACGACGGGUAGCCGGCCUGAGAGGGUGACCGGCCACACUGGGACUGAGACACGGCCCAGACUCCUACGGGAGGCGGCAGUGGGGAAUAUUGCACAAUGGGCGCAAGCCUGAUGCAGCGACGCCGCGUGAGGGAUGACGGCCUUCGGGUUGUAAACCUCUUUUAGUAGGGAAGAAGCGAAAGUGACGGUACCUGCAGAAAAAGCACCGGCUAACUACGUGCCAGCAGCCGCAGUAA